GGGGUUGUGGCUCAGGGGUAGAGCACCAGCCUGGCAUGUGUGAGGCAUUGGGUUGGAUUCCCAGCACCUCA
rnacentral:tRNA from 1 species